UCCGGUUGAUCCUGCCGGACCUGACUGCUAUCGGAUUGAUACUAAGCCAUGCGAGUCAUUGUAGCAAUACAAGGCAGACGGCUCAGUAACGCGUAGUCAAUCUACCCUAUGGACGGGGAUAACCUCGGGAAACUGAGAAUAAUACCCGACAGAACAUUAUGCCUGGAAUGGUUUAUGUUUUAAAUGAUUUAUCGCCGUAGGAUGGGACUGCGGCCUAUCAGUUUGUUGGUGAGGUAAUGGCCCACCAAGACUAUUACAGGUACGGGCUCUGAGAGGAGUGGCCCGGAGAUGGGUACUGAGACACGGACCCAGGCCCUAUGGGGCGCAGCAGGCGAGAAAACUUUGCAAUGUGCGAAAGCACGACAAGGUUAAUCCGAGUGGUUUCUGCUAAAGAAACCUUUUGUUAGUCCUAGAAACACUGACGAAUAACGCGUGGGCAAGUUCUGGUGUCAGCCGCCGCGGUAAAACCAGCACCUCAAGUGGUCAGGAUGAUUAUUGGGCCUAAAGCAUCCGUAGCUUGCUUUGUAAGUUCUCGGUUAAAUCCAUGCGCUUAACGUAUGGGCUGCCGGUAAUACUGCAAAGCUAGGGAGUGGGAGAGGUAGACGGUACUCGGUAGGAAGGGGUAAAAUCCUUUGAUCUAUUGAUGACCACCUGUGGCGAAGGCGGUCUACCAGAACACGUCCGACGGUGAGGGAUGAAAGCUGGGGGAGCAAACCGGAUUAGAUACCCGGGUAGUCCCAGCUGUAAACUAUGCAAACUCAGUGAUGCAUUGGCUUGUGGCCAAUGCAGUGCUGCAGGGAAGCCGUUAAGUUUGCCGCCUGGGAAGUACGUACGCAAGUAUGAAACUUAAAGGAAUUGGCGGGA
rnacentral:rRNA from 1 species